GACGAACGCUGGCGGCGUGCCUAAUACAUGCAAGUCGAACGCACUGGGGACGGGUGAGUAACACGUGGGUAACCUCCCAUCAGAGGGGAUAACACUUGGAAACAGGUGCUAAACCGAUACUGAUGGAUGGACCCGCGGUGCAUUAGCUAGUUGUUGAGGUAACGGCUCACCAAGGCCACGAUGCAUAGCGGACCUGAGAGGAUGAGCGGCCACACUGGGACUGAGACACGGUCCAGACUCCUACGGGAGGCAGCAGUGGGGAAUAUUGGGCAAUGGACGAAAGUCUGAACGAGCAACGCCGCGUGAGUGAAGAAGGUUUUCGGAUCGUAAAGCUCUGUUAGUAGGGAAGCGGUAUUUACAGAGAAAGCCCCGGCUAACUACGUGCCAGCAGCCGCGGUAAUAC
rnacentral:rRNA from 1 species